rnacentral:rRNA from 1 species
AGAACUUUGAAAAGAGAGUUAAACAGUACGUGAAAUUGUUGAAAGGGAAACGAUUGAAGUCAGUCAUACUAACGGGAAAUCAACCUCUUGAGUUUGGUCUCGUGGGUUUCGAAGAGU